rnacentral:lncRNA from 1 species
CCAGCCCCGGCAUGUCCACCACGAACGCGUAGGACCCCGGGAGCUCCUUCACGUCGGCCGGGGUCGCCGCCAUGGCGCGUGCGUCGCGGACGUAGGUGCGCGUGGGGCCGCCCGCCGCUGCGCCAGCCUUGUCGCCGCCCGCGCCGGCGUCGCCGUCGGGAACGUCCAGCAGGUGCUGCAGCGCCGCCAUCAGGGGAGUCUCCAGCCCGAACAUCCUCGCGUCCAUCUCGCCGCCGCGGAUCUUGGCCUCCCUCACUCGAUUUGCUUUGGUUUCUUGGUUUGCUGAUUUGCGGAUUGCUCAGGUGUUCGUGUGUUUCUUGGUACUGCGUGGAGUGAGGAGGGGAGAGGGAUGGCUUAUAUGCCGGUGGGAGGAGGUAGAGUCUGGAAGGCCAUGGAAGGUUCUGAAAGGGGGGAGGGGCUGUGCGCGCGGCGCGGCGCGGCGUUGGCGCGGGUAUGAUGGUGGAGAAGCAUCUGGAAUAUAAUAGAGCUUCUGCGGUUGGAAAUCUAGGAGACAGUAGACUUUUCUGGACCUACUUGUCAUCUCGCUAGCUAUGACACGUGUCUGUGGGCCCUGUCUUUAUCCGUCCGUCUUUCCGCUGAGAUAUUUAUUGGGCUUUUGCUCCACUUUUCCGUUCUUUUGCCCAGAGAGUUCCAGACUUCUACUUUUGAAUUUGAAAGGAGAUUUUGCGAUCGCUUCAUAUGCUGUAACAAGAAAAAUGUUAAUGCGGAAGAGGGUUGUUUUUUGCCGGUGAAAAUAACUGGGUAGGAUUUAGCUUCCCCAUCACUUUUACUGGAGCUCAGUCCACUAACAAUCAACCGAGCCCCUUGUUAGUAAGGUGUUAGGUCUCACCUUUAAGUUAUGCUCCCGAACUUAGAGAAAUUCUCUUCUCAUUUGGAUGGAACUCGUUAUUUUUUAAAAUUUCAUUAAAAUUUUACUAAAAGAAUAUAAAUCUUGUCCAUUUUUUGGUCUGACGACAACUCCGAUGAAACUUAAGCGGUAAGUAAAUCCUGAAGGAGAUAUGCUGGCAUCUGAGCUAGUUCUGCCCUGCAGCUUGAGGAACAUCAGAAAGCAUUUGUUGCUUCAAUACAUGAUGCAGAAAUAGUGGAAACACCACGAACUAACAACCCAUAACUCGAGUACAUGACCCACCAAAAUGCUAUGGGUUGAAUUAUUUCUACAGACAGCUACCAGAUCGGAAAAAGCAGCCACCACUAAACAACACGAUCGUAGAUCAUUUUUUUCCAGUUAAGGAGCCUUAAUUUUUCUGAACAACGGCGACUCAGUUGGAUGCUUCAUCAAAUUGUGGUCAAAUCUUAUCCCCAAGGUUUCCACAGCGCAAGCAACAAAACUACACCACAACAGCGCGUCUAAACUCUUAAACCAUCUCCCAACAUUUCCUAAACUAGGCGUGGCCGUGUCCUCAAAACAUGUUUCUGGUACAUCAGAAAUCAAAACAUUUUUACAGAGAUUCUGCUUACUCGAGCACUAGUCCUAAACAAUGUUUUGAGUCAUCUGGUGACGGCGUUUUAACAAUUCUACUUGUACAAGCCAUUCAGAGUGAGAUGUGCAUCCAAGAAAAGAGCAAGAAACGAACAAGAUGCAGAUUUAAUUAUUCAGAAAGCAGUUCACAUCAGCUUCUGCAUUCCGUAGCACAAAAGCCACAUACCGAGCACCGCACAGCCACAAAAGAACGGAAGAAACUCUCAUGAACACACUAGUCACUAUCACUCAUGCCACCCCACAUCACUACUGCUCUCAUCCUCACCACACUCACUGACACUCCCCUGAAGUCCUGAACUUAUUAGGCUUGAUCGAUCCUCGCUCAUCCUCUCAGCCUCUCAGGCGAUCUUGACCUCGAUGGUCUUGGGCUUCUUGGGCUCCGGCGGCGGCAGCUUCUCCACGGUCACCGUCAGCACGCCGUCCUUGCACACGGCGGAGAUCUUGUCCAUGUCGGCGUUGUCCGGGAGCACGAACUUGCGCAUGAACUUGCCCAUCCGGCGCUCCAUGCGCAGGUACUUGGCGUCCUCGCGCUCCUCCCGCCGCCGCUCGCCGCUGAUCACCAGCACCCGCUCGUCCUCCACCUGCACCUUGAUGUCGCCCGUGCCCAGCCCCGGCAUGUCCACCACGAACGCGUAGGACCCCGGGAGCUCCUUCACGUCGGCCGGGGUCGCCGCCAUGGCGCGUGCGUCGCGGACGUAGGUGCGCGUGGGGCCGCCCGCCGCUGCGCCAGCCUUGUCGCCGCCCGCGCCGGCGUCGCCGUCGGGAACGUCCAGCAGGUGCUGCAGCGCCGCCAUCAGGGGAGUCUCCAGCCCGAACAUCCUCGCGUCCAUCUCGCCGCCGCGGAUCCUGGUCGCUCUUUCCUUUGGGGAUCUCGC